UGUUGACCUCGGAUCAGGUAGGAAUACCCGCUGAACUUAAGCAUAUCAAUAAGCGGAGGAAAAGAAACCAACAGGGAUUGCCCUAGUAACGGCGAGUGAAGCGGCAACAGCUCAAAUUUGAAAUCUGGCUCUCGGGCCCGAGUUGUAAUUUGUAGAGGAUACUUUUGAUGCGGUGCCUUCCGAGUUCCCUGGAACGGGACGCCAUAGAGGGUGAGAGCCCCGUCUGG
rnacentral:rRNA from 1 species